UACGUAGGGUCCAAGCGUUAUCCGGAAUUACUGGGCGUAAAGGGCGCGUAGGCGGCGCCUCAAGUCAGAUGUGAAAGUCCUGGGCUUAACCUGGGGACUGCAUUUGAUACUGGGUUGCUUGAAUUCGGGAGAGGAUAGCGGAAUUCCCAGUGUAGAGGUGAAAUUCGUAGAUAUUGGGAAGAACACCGGUGGCGAAGGCGGCUAUCUGGACCGACAUUGACGCUGAGGCGCGAAAGCGUGGGGAGCAAACAGG
rnacentral:rRNA from 1 species